rnacentral:lncRNA from 1 species
UCCUGCAAGUAUAUUAAAUAUACAUUAUAAUUAUUGACAUGCAUGCAUCAACAUAGGCUUUUAAUUAUUGAGUUAACAAGGUGUGUAGAUGUAAGUAUUGAGAGAGUAAUUACCGUGAUAGAGAUAUCUAAUAGUGGUAUGGAGGAGGAGGAGAUUUGUAGAGGUAAGGAUGGUGUGGUGGAGAGUAGUGGUGUACUGGAGGAGGAGGAGGUGAUUUGUACACGUACUUUUCCUUUGGUGGUGGUGGAGAGUGGUAAACCGGAGGAGGAGAGUAGUGCUUAACCGGAGGAGGAGGGGACUUGUAUACGUAAUGUUUCUUUGGUGGUGGUGGGGAAUGGUAGACUGGAGGGGGAGAGUAGUGCUUAACCGGAGGAGGAGGGGACUUGUAUACGUAAUGUUUCUUUGGUGGUGGUGGGGAAUGGUAAACUGGAGGGGGAGAGUAGUGCUUCACCGGUGGUGGUGGAGAUUUGUACACGUAGUGUUUCUUUGGUGGGGGUGGGGAAUGGUAAACCGGAGGAGGAGAGUAGUGCUUAACUGGAGGAGGAGGAGAUUUGUACACGUAGUGUUUCUUUGGUGGUGGUGGGGAAUGGUAAACCGGAGGAGGAGAGUAGUGCUUAACCGGAGGAGGAGGAGAUUUGUACACGUAGUGUUUCUUUGGGGGUGGUGGGGAAUGGUAAACCGGAGGAGGUGAGUAGUGCUUCACCGGUGGUGGUGGAGAUUUGUAGACGUAAUGCUUUUUAGGUGGGGGUGGGGAAUGGUAAACCGGAGGGGGAGAGUAGUGCUUAACCGGAGGAGGAGGAGACUUGUAAACGUAAUGUUUUUUUGGUGGUGGUGGUGAGUGGUAAACCGGAGGGGGAGAGUAGUGCUUAACCGGAGGAGGAGGAGACUUGUAUACGUAAUGUUUCUUUGGUGGUGGUGGUGAGUGGUAAACCGGUGGGGGAGAGUAGUGCUUGACUGGAGGAGGGGGAGAUUUGUACACGUAGUGCUUCUUGGGUGGUGGUGGAGAGUGGUAAACCGGAGGAGGAGAGUAGUGCUUAACCGGAGGAGGGGGAGAUUUGUAAACGUAGUGCUUCUUUGGUGGUGGUGGGGAGUGAUAAACCGGUGGGGGAGAGUAGUGCUUGACCGGAGGAGGAGGAGAUUUGUACACGUAGUGUUUCUUUGGUGGGGGUGGGGAAUGGUAAACCGGAGGAGGUGAGUAGUGCUUAACCGGUGGAGGUGGAGAUUUGUAUUCGUAGUGCUUCUUAGGUGGUGGUGGGGAGUGGUAUACCGGUGGAGGAGAGUAGUGUUUAACCGGAGGAGUGUAAUGUUUAACCGGUGGUGGAGGAGAAGAAUAGAAAUAGUUAGCGGUUGAUUGAGAUACAAAGGUGAGAGAGAUU